ensembl:lncRNA
GGGGGGAAAUGAAUCGUUAAUAAAAUUAAAACCAAUGCUUCCGUCCGCAGUUCUGACCAAACGGGGGGGGACUUGAACCCGAUACAAGCGAUAAAAUAAAUAGGAAAGAAAAACAGAACUAAACAACGUCAUUAUCGGUAUUUACACGCUCUGUUCUCCUUCAGAACCACGGGAUUUUGACAUCUUUUGUUUUUCCUCUGAACUACAAGACCAAAGAAGAAUCCAUAAACAAGGUUAAUAGGAGAGUCUCUUCAAAAAACAGAAAGAACACAACCACCUUCACGGAUAAAUGAUAAAAAAAGUGCUUCUCUCGCACUUUUCACCACCUUAGAAAUAUCUGUGUUUUUUUUUUACUUAUCUCGUCCUACUAGAAUAAAGAAUCAUCUACAAUAAUUAAAAUCUAUACAGAAAAAUAAAACUUAAUUUAAUACACUAUAAACCUCUGGACUAAAAUUAGUCUAAUCAUACAAAUCAAUCAUUCCACUCACAAUCAAUUCUUCUGCAGUGUUUCUCUCUCAUUCGCCAAAACCACGUCUUCAUUCUACAUCUUUAUUCUCACUCAUCGGGGGGGUGAAAUAGAAAGAAAUGAGAGCAGAGAAGGCAGAUCUGGCCGAGUGUCUCCGACCAGAACAGUUCGUUAGCUUAGCUUAGCUUAACGCCCAGACUGCCAUUUCAGAGGAGCAUCGCCCUCUGGGGCUGAGAAAUACCUGUUGGGGGGGGGGGUGCAAGAAGAACGACAGGAAGGAGGGAGAAGGAGAAGGAGGAGGAGUAGCAGUAGCAGAAAGAAGAGCCAGAGCGCAGUGUGGGGUACGUUGUCUUUGAGAUGAGAUUGUAAAUGGCCGCUGUCCACUGAGAGAAUACAUUCAUCUGAGCAGGGGAAGCCCCCGCCCCCCCCCCCCCACCGGAGGGCCGCCUACAGUAAGUCACACCAGGGUGAAUGCAGUCGGUGAGGGGCGUGGCACGUCCUAGCAGUUCCAUAGGCCCCUCCCACCGUGACAAGCCCCUCCUCCUCCGACUCUGCCCCCCCCCCCCACCGCCGGCCGUAUCGUCCCGAGGUCACUCCGGUUGCCCGGGGCAACGUGGUAGGCCGAGCGAGGUGGGGGGGUGGCUGAGGUCGUUGGAGGCAGACUGAUCCGGGGGCCCGUCGGGCUCCUGGGGUCCCGUAGUUGUGUGGUUGAGGAGGGAGGGGGCCAGGCCAGGGGGG